rnacentral:misc_RNA from 1 species
UACGGAGGGUGCAAGCGUUAAUCGGAAUUACUGGCGUAAAGCGCACGCAGGCGGUCUGUCCAGUCGGAUGUGAAAUCCCCGGGCUCAACCUGGGAACUGCAUCCGAAACUUGCAGGCUAGGGUCUUGUAGAGGGGGGUAGAAUUCCAGGUGUAGCGUUGAAAUGCGUAGAGAUCUGGAGGCAUACCGGUUGCGAAGGCGGCCCCCUGGACAAAGACUGACGCUCAUGUGCGAAAGCGUGGGGAGCAAACAGG